rnacentral:tRNA from 1 species
GGCUUCGUAGCUCAGCUGGUAGAGCGCUUGCCGCGUAGAGUCAUGGUGUUUCUGUCUCUGGUUCGAAUCCAGCCGAAGCCC